rnacentral:rRNA from 1 species
UACGUAGGCAGCGAGCGUUGUUCGGAGUUACUGGGCGUAAAGCGUGCGUAGGCGGUGUCUUAAGUUUGUUGUGAAAUCUCCCGGCUUAACCGGGAGGGUGCGGCGAAUACUGAGAUGCUGGAGUGCCGGAGAGGUAAGCGGAAUUCCUGGUGUAGCGGUGAAAUGCGUAGAUAUCAGGAGGAACACCUGCGGUGUAGGCGGCUUACUGGACGGUAACUGACGCUGAGGCACGAAAGCGUGGGUAGCAAACAGG